rnacentral:rRNA from 1 species
ACAGCAGUAGCCGCGGUAAGACAGAGGAUGCAAGCGUUAUCCGGAAUUAUUGGGCGUAAAGGGCUCGCAGGCGGUUUCUUAAGUCUGAUGUGAAAUCUUGGGGCUCAACCUCAAAACUGCAUUCGAUACUGCGGAGCUAGAGGACUGGAGAGGAGAGUGGAAUUCACGGUGUAGCAGUGAAAUGCGUAGAUAUCGUGAGGAAGACCAGCGGCGAAGGCGGCUCUCUGGACAGUUCCUGACGCUGAUGCACGAAGGCCAGGGGAGCAAACGGGAUUAGAUACCCGUGUAGUCCCUGUCUCUUAUAC